GUGUAGGAAUUGGUGGAAUUGCCAGAGCAUUGGAAAUGGCCACUGGCUAUGGUAAACCUCGAAGGACCCUGAAGCCCUAGGUGAGGAGCAUCUUCCCACCGGCCCCCUGCCCUGCCAUCUUGGUCUUCAUGCCCUUAAUUUUCCAGGUGGAGGACUUGAAGUCUCAGCUGGUGGCCCAGGAUGACUCCCAGAGGCUGGUGGAGCAGGAGGUUCAGGAGAAGCUGAGAGAGACCCAGGAGUAUAACCGAAUUCAGAAGGAGCUGGAGAGAGAGAAAGCCAGCCUGACUCUGUCACUGAUGGAAAAGGAACAGAGACUCCUUGUUUUACAAGAAGCUGACUCU
rnacentral:sRNA from 1 species